rnacentral:rRNA from 1 species
GAGGCGAACCGGGGGAACUGAAACAUCUAAGUACCCCGAGGAAAAGAAAUCAACCGAGAUUCCGAAAGUAGCGGCGAGCGAAAUUGGACUAGCCCUUAAGCUUUACACGCGUUAGACGAACGGUCUGGAAAGUCCGACGAUACAGGGUGAUAGUCCCGUAGUUGACGACGUGUGUUCAGUGAAAUCGAGUAGGGCGGGACACGUGAUAUCCUGUCUGAAUAUGGGGGGACCAUCCUCCAAGGCUAAAUACUACUGACUGACCGAUAGUGAACCAGUACCGUGAGGGAAAGGCGAAAAGAACCCCUGUGAGGGGAGUGAAAUAGAACCUGAAACCGUGUACGUACAAGCAGUAGGAGCAGGCUU